AUUGAACGCUGGCGGCAGGCCUAACACAUGCAAGUCGAGCGGAUGAAGGGAGCUUGCUCCUGGAUUCAGCGCCGGACGGGUGAGUAAUCCCUAGGAAUCUGCCUGGUAGUGGGGGAUAACGUCCGGAAACGGGCGCUAAUACCGCAUACGUCCUGAGGUAGAAAGUGGGGGAUCUUCGGACCUCACGCUAUCAGAUGAGCCUAGGUCGGAUUAGCUAGUUGGUGGGGUAAAGGCCUACCAAGGCGACGAUCCGUAACUGGUCUGAGAGGAUGAUCAGUCACACUGGAACUGAGACACGGUCCAGACUACUACGGGAGGCAGCAGUGGGGAAUAUUGGACAAUGGGCGAAAGCCUGAUCCAGCCAUGCCGCGUGUGUGAAGAAGGUCUUCGGAUUGUAAAGCACUUUAAGGUGGGAGUAAGGGCAGUAAGUUAAUACCUUGCUGUUUUGACGUUACCAACAGAAUAAGCACCGGCUAACUUCGUG
rnacentral:rRNA from 1 species